ACACCCUACUUAAGUACUUACUUCAUGCAUGAGUAUAUUAUUAUAUAAAAGUUUAAUUAUAUAAAACAAAACGCAUCAAUUAUAGGUACUUGAUGCUAUCCUUGCCCCAAUAUUGUGCGUCAUGUAUGCGUGCGCAAAAACAGGAUAUGCUCAGCAAUUUCUACGACUUAAACCUCGAGAGGUUAGCGUCGCAGCGCUGAUUUUCAGCACAUCCCUGGGUGACGUAAUGGCGUCCCGCCAGCUUCACUAUUCGCCAGCGAUCAUGAAUGCAAUGCAACGAAUGACCAAGUAGCCGGCAUAACCUGUAAAAUACAGAUAUACCUAUAUUGAACAUAAAUGAUGGGGGAGGCUGCAGCCACGAACGAACCUGUUGGAUACCUGUGCCUCACCAUGUUGGAAGGCCGCGACCCUUGAGGUCUCGCAUUGGUGGUGGCAGGUUGUUCCAACAGUGAGUCGCAGCAUAUUUGAAGCUCCCCCUGAAGGCCGCCGUUCUGUGCUGAGGGAUGGAUAGUGGAUGGAUGGAUACCGCAGAUAUACCUCGUUACGUACCCAAUAUACCUUCAUUUUAACAGCUUUUGCGUGUACGAUUGAUACGGAGGAUUUGUUGUCAUCAAUGGAGUUAUUAAUUCUGGGGCGGAGCUCGUGCAAAGUUAUUUUUUAUUUAAAUUUUGUAAACACGGUAGUAUGAACGAUGAAUAAAAAUAAGGGGGAUGUGACACGAGAUAAAGGAGGUCACAACUUUGUUGUUACUUUAGGACCAAAAACAUGUUUCGCGUCAUCUGACGACGUAGUUCGACGGGAAAAUUAAAAAAAAGCAGAACGCCAGCUGGCUACCUUAAUUAGAAUUUUUCGAAUUAUAUAACAUUUUUUGGAGC